rnacentral:lncRNA from 1 species
CUGGACUGGUGUGGGCUGGACUGAUGAGGAUUGGACUGAUGAAGGCUGGACUGAUAAAGGCUGGAGUAAAUCCUGUGCAGUUUGAGGCAACACACUCAUGACCAGGGCCUUAAAGUUUCUAAACUCUGUUCUCAAAUCAGUGAUCUCCUGGUGACGUCGCUCCAGUGCCUGCGUGAGGCGGACAACGACCUCGUCAGCAGUAGUGGUGGAAGAAGAAGGUUGGUGCUUCAGAGUACCUCG